GACCGGCUGAAACACAUUGGUGUAGGCCAGAACUCCGCCUGAAAAGCGGAAGGUCGGCGGUUCGAUCCCGCCCCUGGCCACCG
rnacentral:tRNA from 1 species